ACGGUACUCAGUUCGGAUUGCAGGCUGCAACUCGCCUGUAUGAAGUCGGAAUUGCUAGUAAUCGCGGAUCAGCAUGCCGCGGUGAAUACGUUCCCGGGCCUUGUACACACCGCCCGUCACACCAUGAGAGCCGGGAACACCCGAAGUCCGUAGUCUAACCGCAAGGAGGACGCGGCCGAAGGUGGGUUUGGUAAUUGGGGUGAAGUCGUAACAAGGUAUC
rnacentral:rRNA from 1 species